rnacentral:rRNA from 1 species
CCUACGGGUGGCUGCAGUGGGGAAUAUUGGACAAUGGGGGCAACCCUGAUCCAGCAAUGCCGCGUGUGUGAAGAAGGCCUUCGGGUUGUAAAGCACUUUCAGUGAGAAAGAACGGCUGGUGGUUAAUACCCAUCAGGCAUGACAUCACCCACAGAAGAAGCACCGGCUAACUCCGUGCCAGCAGCCGCGGUAAUACGGAGGGUGCGAGCGUUAAUCGGAAUUACUGGGCGUAAAGCGCGCGUAGGUGGCCUAAUAAGCCGGUUGUGAAAGCCCCGGGCUUAACCUGGGAACUGCAUCCGGUACUGGUUACCUAGAGUGCAGAAGAGGAAAGUAGAAUUCCCGGUGUAGCGGUGAAAUGCGUAGAGAUCUGGAGGAAUACCAGUGGCGAAGGCGGCCUCCUGGUCUGACACUGACGCUGAGGUGCGAAAGCGUGGGGAGCAAACAGGAUUAGAUACCCUAGUAGUC